UACGUAGGGGGCAAGCGUUGUCCGGAUUUAUUGGGCGUAAAGAGCGUGUAGGCGGCCAUACAGGUCAGCUGUGAAAACUCGAGGCUCAACCUCGAGACGUCGGUUGAAACCGUAUGGCUAGAGUCCGGAAGAGGAGAGUGGAAUUCCCGGUGUAGCGGUGAAAUGCGCAGAUAUCGGGAAGAACACCCGUGGCGAAGGCGGCUCUCUGGGACGGUACUGACGCUGAGACGCGAAAGCGUGUGGAGCGAACAGG
rnacentral:rRNA from 1 species